rnacentral:misc_RNA from 1 species
CGCAACCCUCCUUGACUGAAUUCAGCGUACCCGCGCAUCGUAUGUUGAACGGGCUCACCGCCGCGGGCGCCGACUUCACUAUCCCCAAUCAGCUUAGGUAUUGAGACACGCGUUUUCGAGCGAAGGUGGAGCGUGUGUGCGUGUUAGGGACGUGGGAGGGUGCUGUACAUCCUGCCUCUCCCCCUCACAGCAUGGACGGGGUCCAGUCUGCGCACGCCGUCGUCCUCUUCUGCCUUUUUGUUUUGUGCGCCAUCACCCUCCUCUCGUUUCUUCGGCAUGGUGUAGCACACAGAUGCACCUCCCCCACCUUGCUGACACCCGAAGUCCGGACACACGCCUGCUCACCCACCACAUAUGUGUCUGCUCCCUCCUUCCUGUAUUCAUAGCUGUUGAUCUGCAGUGCGAUGAAGAUGGAUGCGUCAGCUGUCAGGCACUCCUCGCAGCGGACGAGUGACAGUACGUCUACCUCCCACGUUCUCUUAACCGACAACGACGAUGACCACCGCCGCGACCAUCAUGUCCCUAUCACCGUCCCGUCCAACAGAAGCAACUCAACCUCCACUCCUCCGCUGCUCUCGAUGCGGUACAGCGGACGUGCGCUGUCUUCCUCGCACAGUCACGUCACCUACGGCGGGGACGCCUCGGCGCAGAAGCUGACGUCGACUUCAUCAGCCUCGUCUCUCUUCACGUGCCUGAGCACUCCGCUUUCGGGCUCUGAGGCGUGCAAGGCCGCUCUCCUAGGCGAUGCACGAGCCACGAGGGACACGGAAGGCAUGACAACGCCGGACGCCGUCGGCGCUGCUGCCGCACAGGAUGUAUCAUCGCCGCGGCGCAGCUCUGUAGCAUGCCCCUUGACGGUGUCGACCACAGAGCACGUGGCGGUGCUCACCGCCCCCGAGAACGGCCAGGAUGCGGAGGAGGUGCAUAGUUGCGUGACAUUGUCCUCCACGGCAACUUCUCCAGGAACGUCUCCUGUGGCAGCGGUGUUGCCGCCACUGCCACAGCAGCGGCGGGUGCUCCUGUCAUCGUCCAGCAACGAACGCCAAUACACGUCGCCGGCAACGGCACCGCAUACGGAGGAGGCCGCGCAGCUCCUCUCCUGUAGCAGUUCUUCCCCCAGCAUCAUCACGGUGUUCACCCCGCCUGCGAUGACGAGAGAGACCGCCGCCCACGCGCCGUUUUCCAUGAGCCCGGCGCCGUCGAAACCUCCCGCCGGACCCUCGGCCGCGACGGCGACAGCCAUGAUGACGUGCCACGCCAGAGCAUUGAGCGACGCCGAAAAGGAAGGCGUGGGACACGAAGCCCGUGCCCGGCCCUACAUGCUGCUCGACUCGGACUGCGGUGGUAGAUCCGCCGACUGUGCCGCCGGCACUCCGGCGGCGUCAACAGAAAGCGAGCAGCAGGGCCGCUCAUUGCACGAGACAGAGACACGCGCACCGCCAGCGAACGGCCCGGUCUGCGACGUUGAAGACGCUGAGGAGGCGGCGCCAGCAGCUCCGUCAGCCAUCAUCACGCCAGCGGCGGCGGAACGCGCGCUAUCGAGUGAGCAGCGCUACGCCUUCCACGCGGCAGUAAAGGAGCACCGGAGUGUGUUUAUCACUGGCGGCGCGGGCACCGGCAAGUCGCACCUGCUGCGCACCAUUAUUCGCGCCCUACCCUCCUCGUGCACGUUCGUCACCGCGACGACAGGCAUUGCCGCUCUCAACCUCAGCGGCUCGACGCUGCACAGCUUCGUCGGCUGCGGCAUCCCCAGUCGAAACAGCAAGGGCGACAGUCUGCUGAGCAUCGUUCUCAGCAAGCAGCGGUGCGUGCGCAGCUGGCGCACUUGCCGCGUACUGAUCAUAGACGAAGUGUCUAUGCUCGAGCCAAGCUUCUUCGACGUGGUCGACUACAUCGCUCGACACGUGCGCAACCGCCCGCACGAGCCGUUCGGCGGCAUUCAGCUCAUCCUCUCGGGCGACUUCCUCCAGCUCCCACCGGUGUCGCGCGAACGGCGCGGCAGCAGCCCGCAGUUCUGCUUCGAGACGGAGGCGUGGUGGAGGGUGAACCCGAGGGUAUGCCUGCUCUCAACGCCGUUCCGCCAACGCAGCCUGCGCUUCUUUGCCAUCUUGAACGAGAUGCGCGUCGGCGAGCUGCAGCCGGACUCGGUCGAGCUGCUCUACUCGAUGGACACGACGGAGCGGGUGCACUUUGUGCGGCGCACGGACAGCGCCACAGAUGUGAAGGUGGAGGACGACCACGGACCACCGGAGGUGGUGCGAGUGGGCCUCAAGCGAGCGGCGGACGUGAGCGCCGAGGCGGCAGUACGCAGCGCAGCCGCCUGCAAGACGGAGAUGUCGGCUACGAGUAUGCGACGGACACGGCUGGAGCUCGUCAACGGCCUCGGGCGCGCCAUGGAUGCCCCGUUCGACGGCUACACAAUCCUUCGUUCCACCCGCGCCGAGGUGGACGCGGAAAACGAACGGUACUACCGCCAGCUCAACACCGAGAUCUUCAUGUACCACGGCUUCCACACGGGCAAGGGUGACUUUCCGGAUAGCUCACUGACAAGGAUUGUGCACCUGCGCAAGGGCUGCCGUGUUAUGCUCAUCAAAAACUUCGACCCUCGGCUAGGGCUCGUCAACGGCAGCACCGGCACCAUCACCGACUUCGUGAGCUUCGCCAACGGUUACCUGUUCAAGACGCAGGGCAUCAGCGCCGACGACGCACGAUCCAUCUGCGUUGGGCGAGGCACGAUGAUGGACCAGCGGCACACGAUGUUGCCGGUUGUCGCCUUCGGGCUGCGCUGCGCUGAUGGCACCAUGGCGACACGCGAGCUCGUUGUGGAGCCGCAGGAGUGGAAGGAGAUGCUUGGGUCGCGCGAGGUGUCACGCUCUGUGCAGAUCCCGCUCAUCCUUGCCUAUGCCAUCACUAUCCACAAGUCGCAAGGGAUGUCGCUGACGCAGGUGGACAUCGACUUCAAGAAGGUAUUUGAGUCUGGCCAGUCGUACGUGGCGCUGUCGCGGUGCACUGAUAUGGAGAGCGUGCGGCUGCACGGAUUCGAUGCCCAUCGCGUCAGCGCAAACCCCACCGCUCUCGCGUACUACAAGGCGCUGGCUCUGCAGCAAGAGCGGCUGCGGUGGCGUCGCACUCAUGUGCCGCGGAUGGUGGAGGCCGAGGAAGCCAUGGAGGCGUUCAGCUGCACCCCGUAUGGGUACGUGCUUCUCAACGAGGCCGAGACGCUGGCGCGACACGGGAGGGAGGACCGCGCGACCGGGUUCAGCACCAGCUUCAAUAGUUUCGCGUCCACGUCCACGUCGUCCAGCCGCUCCCCGGCAUCCGACGGGGACUGCCUCAAGCCGGAGGACUUCGACGACGAGAACUGGGCCGCCGUGAAGGUGGUGGGGAAAGAGCGGCGCGACGGCGGCGGCGACGGAUGCACGCAGAGGCGACGCGAAAAGCACCACCGGCACCGAGAAGGCCACGCAUGCGCGGACGAUCAUAGCGCGGGGCGCACUCGCGCAUAUGCGCGUGACGGGCUCGACGGGGAGUCGAGUGACGGCAGCGACGAUGACGGCGACGACAUGAACGAGACAACGCGGCUAGACAAGCUGCGGCGCCGCAUCGUGCCGCUGCUGACGACGGCGGCCAUGGUGAAGCGCCUCGUCACACGUCAAGCAAUGCCGCUACAUCGCGUCCGUAACUCGCGCAUCGUCGUCGACGCGCACGCGCUAUUUCAGCUCGUGGCGGGGCCGGAGUCCGCAGCGGCGUUUGAUGUGCUCUUUGGCCAGCAGGACAACAUGAUGAGGGUGCCAUUGUGCGUGCACACGCUCGUCACGGAGGCGGCGGCGUACCGGAGCUGCUCCGAGUCCCUCAGCCAGUCGGUGUCACCGCAUCAGCCCGUGGACGGGUUACGCAGCAGCCGCGGCGACGCCCUCGUGGGCUACGACACCUGCAGAGGAAGCUUAGGUGGGGCGGGGUGCGAACCGUUCGAUGCCCCGCUGCUCGCAGCCUCCCACGCGGCAGCCGAGGCUCUUGCGGUGAUGGAGCGGGCGAAGCAGGACUUCAUUCUCGACGUGCAGCGACCAGAGCAAACAUGCGCGCUGCCGGCGGCGGACCCUGGCUGGCUGCGGUUCACAGUGGUGCUGCCGCUGCUCCGCCAUCGACAGGCGAAGGCCCGAACGAAGGACGGGCCCGGUGUCGAUGCUGCGAGUGACGCGGGCGGUGCGUGCCGCGAGGUGGACUUCAUCCUCAACCGCGACCCCCGCGAGAUUCUCCACCACCGCGCCAUCCUCGAGUAUGCCAUGUACUUGCAGGCCUCCUUCGGCGAAGACGUCGUUAUCUGCACGGACUCCGUUCUACUGGCCGCGUACGCCUUUGCGUGGCGGCUGCGCGUCGCGUCGAUAGACUACUUGUGCGGCGAUAACAGCGGUGCCGAUGGCGUGGCUACUUGACGGGGCUGAUGGGCUGGGGACAGAAAGGUCAUGCGCUACAGAGUGCCCAGCACGCAGACGAACACAUGCGGGGCCCGGAGCACAGCUAGCGGAUAAUGUGAGGCCAGCGAGCGACUUUGGCCUCAGAAAUGCCUCCGACGAAGUCAGAAAGCCACUGACCGCGCAUGUGUCUCAGUGUGGGGUCUCUGCUUGUUUGAUUGUGGGCGUCGUUCCCUUUUCUUUGUUUGUCUUCUGCGCAGACUGCCAUGUGUCUCUCUCUCUCUCACACACACACAGCGAAGCAUUCGUACGGAUCUACCAACACCACCGCAGCACCGCACGUGGCAAGGCAACCGUUCCACUCUAGCGCGCAGGCUGAUGAUGGGUCUUGCACCGGACCGCAUCGACAUCACAACCGUCGCCUCCUCAUUCUCGCGGCGCUAUAGCACUUUAGCUCGCACGGGUUCUCUGCUGAUGAAUGCCCUUCUCACCCUGUCGCCGCUCUGCUGGUGCGCUGAGCAACGUAAAGCCACUGGAAGACAGAGGCCGACAAGAGGAGGGUGGCCGAUGUGUCAAGCACAUGCCCUCCCCUCCUUUGUAUACGGUGCAUCAACGCAGCUUGUCGGUGUCGACUCAGGGACGCUGUUCUGGUCCUCUGCGCGUUCCUUCUCUCACUACAGCGACAACCGUUUUUCGUUGGUGUGCGCACGUGAUUGUACACGGCAACGCCGCCAUGACCUCCACUACAUCACCAUCAACACCUUCUCUUCGGGCACACAACAAUGAUGACCACGCGCACCCGCACCUGCCCGGAGCACGGUAGACUCCCCCUCCUUCUUCGCUGUCCUUCCCUCUAUUCUACUUGGCUGCUCCUCCUCGCGGAUAUCCUGUCGAGGGUGACGCUGACAUCGACACCGAAACGAAG